CCUGGUGGCUCAGAGGGUAAAGCGUCUGCCUGCAAUGCAGGAAACCCGGGUUUGAUUCCUGGGUCAGGA
rnacentral:tRNA from 1 species